ensembl:lncRNA
CUGCUGAUGAUGUCUAUUGCUUUUGAAGUGAAUAUUUUGUUGAAAGAUGAUGUAUAGCUACUCGUUUUAUUAUCAGAUUAACAAGGAAAGGAAAGACAAGGGAAGAUUUUUUUUGCGGAUGGCCACACAGCUCUGUGAUUGAUUGGAGAUGUCUUGGCAUGCUUGGCAUUUCAACAGUUGAUGAAAACUAAUUUUCUGCAUGGUAAACAAUGAAGUCUCCAAUCUCCUCAUCUCUCAAAUCAGGCCAGCCAUGCACAAGGCUAAUCUAGCACUUAGCUUUUAUUUCUCCUUAAAUCACACUCAACAUGCAACAGAGAGGGCAACAAUCUGAGCAAUGGAGAACGUUUUCGUUUUUUUUUUUCUUUUUUUUUUUUUCUAACCAGAGCUGUGUGAAGUGGUUGCUAAGCAAUGCCCAUUCCCGUAAGGCUCACGAGGCCAUUUCACCCGUUCCCUGUCCUCUUCUUCUCCCCGAGUGUGGAGGAUGACUGAUGGCGCUCGCCCGCCCCCCCCCCCCGCACAGGGCACCAAGCAGCUCCUCUCGCCCAGUUGCGCCGCCUAAGCUGCCGCUCCCUGCUCCGCGCGCGCGGGGGGAUGGGGGUUGCUUAAUUAAUGACACCCCGGUUCUCUCAGCGUGGCGGACUCCGAACCACCCUCCACCCCCCUCCCCCCCACCUGUCUCCUUCUGCUCUGCACAAUCCGAAGAGCCUCACAACCAACUCACGUGCUCCUCUCCAGCAGCCAUUCCCAGGCAGCUCGGGGAGGACGCUCACAUCUACAUUGGGAUUGACCCUGAACUGGAUUUUGGCUCAACAACUAAUUGGCGCUGAAGGCUUUUGAAAACACUUCAAAAAAAGAAAAGAAAAGAAUUGAAAAACGAAGUUGGGACUGCUAUUGAAAACAGAAAAAAAUGGGUGUUUGUGUGCAAGAUGCUUAAGUAUUCUCAUUGAUGGGAUGGGGGGGAUAAGGGGGAAAUAAAAGGAUGCUCUCUCGCCCCCCUGUUCUUAUAUUGUUUGGUCACAGGGCACUGCAUAUUCAUGUCCCGAGUCUCUCCAUGGAUGCAGGCGACAGUUGUUUGUGGAUUUCCGAGCUCCAUUAUGGAGACUGUGCAUGUUUCUUUGAUGAGGAAUGGAGCGGUGGCUCUGUGGCACGAACACGGAUGUGUCGAGGGGGGAAAACAGGUUUAUGCAUAAUCCUGACGUGACGCGCCGUCCGCCGUCGCCCAUUUGCGGGGGAAAGAGAAGCAACAAGGGAUAUACAACAACAACGGUCCCUGCUAAACCCAUCCCUCCUCCUCACUGGAAGCGGUCGAUGUCACUCUCCUUCUUUCUCUCGCUCUCUCUCUCUCUCCCUCCGUCCGUCUCUGUCUUUCACCUGGCUAAGUGUUCAAGGACGUUGUGGGUCACAGAGGUUUCCAUAGCAAUAAGGCCCCCAUCGAUCCGGCGGCGCUCCUCAGGAUUGCCUGAGUGGCUCUGCAAAUUAGUCCGCGGGUCAGCGGACGGGGGUGAGGGGGGGGGGGGGCACGUGGACCAAAGCCUCCCAGGAGACCCCGGGCUGAGACCCCGAGGCGUGGGAACUGAUCACAGGACAGUUAAUGACUUUGCAGACCCCCACACCACACACACACACACACACACACACACACACACACACACACACACACACACACACUGCCCACCGGCUGAUAUAUAGGUUGCUGUGGCGGGCGACUGUAAAUACUCUGAGUCCUUGAGAUAAAGUCAAGGAGAGUUUUUUUUCCAUAGAGAGGAUGGGGUGGGUGAACUAUAACCAUGGGUCCUCUUCAUCUCCAGCGAUCAUUUCAGGUUCCAGAAAAAUCAAAGGCUCUCUCUCUCUUUCUAUAUAAAUAUCUCUCUCUCUCUCUCUCUCUCUCUCUCUCUCUCUCUCUCUCUCUCACUCUCUCCCCUUUGGAGCAGUGCUUUUGAUACUGUUUAAAAGCAGGACCACAUUAAAGAGCUUGGGGAAAAAUAAAUCGGCAAAUGGGUAAUUCAAGCCAGCCAGAGUGUUACUCCUCUCUCUCUCUCUCUCCCUGACCAAAGAGGACUAGGUGUGAAGUGGCCUGGCAGUGGGAUAAUAAUGGCUUUCAAAACACAGACCGAAAGACGCUCCUCUCCUCUCCGGAUCAGCCUGGUGGGUGUGAGGUCAUAUCCAGGAUGGCCGGCUCCGUGGAUGGCUUCGUCCGUCGGUCUGUUUGUCCGCCUCUACUGUAUGUCUGUCUGUUUGUCUGUCAGAUAAGAACCCCUUCAGGGACCAGCCAUGCCAGGAGGGGGGGUUUAGUUUGCGGUCGAUGUGUUGCCCCUGCCACCUUCACAUCACGGAGAACUGGGAUUGGCUGGGAGAUUUGAACUCUCCACGGAGAACUGGGAUUGGCUGGAGAGAUUUGAACUCUCCACGGAGAACUGGGAUUGGCUGGGAGAUUUGAACUCUCCACCAAUCGCCCUGGCCCCAUAUGCACUCCCUUUAUUAUUCCCACUUCACACCAGUGUGCAGAUGUAAGGAGGACGUCACAGCCGACUGUCAGAAAACAGCGAGACCUUGUCCAAGUAGUGACCUUCUCCGGGCGAUGAGGCCUAUAAGGAGGGAGAGUCCUUGGGCAGCAGUGUGAUUAAAAUGGUAAGUCGUUUUGGAGUUUGGACAUUCCCGAUUCAGGACGAUUCGCGUCGUCACCCGCUCGCCGCACUCUUGGAGCUUGUUAAAAAAAAUGACGAGAAGAACUUUCUUUCACUCCAAAGGCUCUGUGAAGGGGCAUACUUUUUAAAGGACCUUAUCCAUUUCUUAGGAUAGGUUACAGGACCAAAAAAAAAACACAGGAAUCAUAAGAGAUUGAGUACACGCAGACCUCUGUGAAUGUUAGACUUUCUGGCGGCGCCACUUCUGUAUAUGUAGCAACCUCUCUCCUGUGUCAAAAGGACCGUGGGACAUCAGAGCCGCGUGCUUACUCAAUCUCCAGUGAUUUAUGCCUGUGUGUGUGGCACUCCGACAAGAGCUAAAUGACUGUUCUUUGUAAGACUUCUUUCUAGAGCACAAGUAUUCUACCUGCGUUUUCCGAAUGCAACCAGGUAGACAUACUUGUGGUCCAAUCUUCAGCAAUAUAUACUGAUGUGUAUGAAAUUCUUCUUGUUUGUUUGUUUUUUUUUCUUUUUUGUACUGUAUUAGUAUUUCAGGUUGCGUCAAACAUGUAGCAUUUGACACAGACCAACAACAGUGACGUCGUGCUUCCAAACUUUCGAUGCACUCUCACUUUCCCCAGCCCCUUCCUUCCCCCAUUUACGAUGUCUUGCUGUGUGAAGCUUGCGCUCUGUUAUGGGUUGACCAUUGAUCUGUAUGGUAGACACACGCUCAUAUAGUCACAUAAAAAAAAAAAAAAUUGCAUUGUAUUCAAGCGCUCGGGCGACACGUUCGUUAGUUAGAUUUGUAAGUCGUGUACAGUGUAAAUCUGCAGACCACUUGUCGUUCCAUUCGUUUCGGUGGUACUUUCUUUUGACGUCUAUGUACUCUAUGUACCAUGUAGACUGUACCACUUGUCUAAACGUGCUAAACUUUGUUGAAUACCUGGUUUAUAUAAGGGCUUUUUAUAGAGACAAACAAACAAACAAAUAAAUAAACAAAACUACAGAAACCACAAUUCCAUUUGGGCUCCGACAUUAAGGCUCCCUCCUCUCACUGUCACUGUGGUGUGCUGACACCCAGGGUCACCCGGAUUGCUGCUGCGUCCAAAUUAAUGAAUUCCCUCAGCCGUGGGCUCUGAUUUCCGCCCCAGAGACGCUUCUUCUGUUGGUCGUUAUCUGGCACAAGCUGUACACCUCGGGAGAAUGGGAGACGUCCUGACCGCCUAAGAGGCAAAAAAAGGGC